CUGAAACAGGAUGGGGUGAAUUCGAAAUAAUCAUCAAAAUAUUUUUCAUUGACCCUAAUGAAAGACCUGUAACCCUGUAUCAUUUGCUAAAGCUGUUUCAAUCAGACACCAAUGCAAUGCUGGGGAAAAAGACAGUGGUUUCAGAGUUCUAUGAUGAAAUGAUAUUUCAAGACCCAACAGCAAUGAUGCAACAAUUAUUGACAACAUCUCGUCAG
rnacentral:misc_RNA from 1 species